GACGAACGCUGGCGGCGUGCUUAACACAUGCAAGUCGAACGGAGUGGCGGGCGGGUGAGUAACACGUGGGUGACCUUCCCUGCACUUCGGGAUAAGCAUGGGCAAGUGGGUCUAAUACCGGCUAGUGUGGGAUGGGCCCGCGGCCUAUCGGCUUGUUGGUCGGGUAAUGGCUUACCAAGGGGGCGACGGUUAGCAGGCCUGAGAGGGUGUACGGCCACAGUGCGACUACGACACGGCCUAGACGCCUACGGGAGGUAUCAGUGGGGAAUAGUGCACAAGGGGCGGAAGCCUGAUGCAGCGAGGCUGCGUGGGGGAGGACGGCCUUCUGGUGGUAAACUCCUGUCACCAUCUACGCGGUAGAUGGAGAAGAAGCACCGGCUAACUACGUGCCAGCAGCCGCGGUAAUUC
rnacentral:rRNA from 1 species